GCGGAUUGACUUUGCGCAGGCGUAAUCUGACGCGAGGGCCGAGUGCGUAUUCCGCUUUGUCUGGCUCCGCAAACGCGGCGGGGUUCUAGAACCAGGAGGUGCUUCCAGACCCCUGAGUCAUCCUGUCCCCGCAGGUUCUAGAACCAGGAGGUGCUUCCAGACCCCGGAGUCAUCCUGUCGCCGCAGGUUCUAGAACCAGGAGGUGCUUCCAGACCCCGGAGUCAUCCUGUCGCCGCAGGUUCUAGAGCC